rnacentral:rRNA from 1 species
CCGAAGCGGCGGGAUUUUAUCUAUAGAAUCGGUAGGGGAGCUUCCCAUGGGCGGAGAAGCCGGAGGGCGACCGACGGUGGAGCGCAUGGGAGUGAGAAUGCUGGCAUGAGUAGCGAGAGACGAGAGAGUAACUCGUCCGCCGUGAACCCGAGGUUUCCUGGGCAAGGCUAAUCCUCCCAGGGUCAGUCGGGGGCUAAGGCGAGGCCGGGAGGCGUAGCCGACGCGCAGCAGGCAGACAUUCCUGCACCGCGCACGCGGCGCUACGACCGACGGGGCGACGGAUGGGGGUGGCUCGGCGGGGUUCUGGACGUCCCCGUGAUGGAGCGCGGCCCGCGGACCAGGGAAAUCCGGUCCGCAGAAGGGCGAGGCUCCGGACGAAGCACUUAAGCGAAGCGAGUGAGCCCGAGGUCCCUAGAAAAACCCCUAGGCAGGCGCGUGCGCGCCCGUACCGCAAACCGACACAGGUGGGUGGGUAGAACAUACCGAGGCGAUCGGGUCAACCAUGGUCAAGGAACUCGGCACAAUGGCCCCGUAACUUCGGGAGAAGGGGUGCCCGCGCGUACGUGAACGGACUUGCUCCGGGAGCGGAGGCGGGCCGCAGUGGAGAGGCCCAAGCGACUGUUUACCAAAAACACAGGACUCUGCAGAAGCCGCAAGGCGACGUAUAGGGUCUGACGCCUGCCCGGUGCCGGAAGGUCACGCGGAGGAGUUAGCGCAUCGCGCGAAGCCCCGAAGCCAAGCCCCGGUAACGGUCCUAAGGUAGCGAAAUUCCUUGUCGGGUAAGUUCCGACCUGCACGAAAGGCGCAACGACUUGGGCGCUGUCUCGACCAUGGACCCGGUGAAAUUGCACUGGUCGUGAAGAUGCGACUUACCCGCGGAAGGACGGAAAGACCCCGUGAACCUUCACUGCAGCUUGGCAUUGGCCGCUGGUCCCGCGUGUAGAGGAUAGGCAGGAGGCAUCGAUCCGGAGGCGCCAGCCCCCGGGGAGCCGCCCUUGGAAUACUGCCCUCGCGCGACCGGCGUCCUAACCCGAGGCCGUCAACCGGCUCGGGGACCGUGCCAGGCGGGCAGUUUGACUGGGGCGGUCGCCUCCUAAAGGGUAACGGAGGCGCGCGAAGGUCCGCUCGGGACGGUCGGCAACCGUCCUUUUGAAUGCAAGAGUACAAGCGGGCUUGACUGCGAGGCCCACAAGCCGAGCAGGUGCGAAAGCAGGCUCUAGUGAUCCGGCGGCCCCGAGUGGGUGGGCCGUCGCUCAACGGAUAAAAGGUACUCCGGGGAUAACAGGCUGAUCUUGCCCAAGAGUCCACAUCGACGGCAAGGUUUGGCACCUCGAUGUCGGCUCAUCGCAUCCUGGGGCUGUAGCAGGUCCCAAGGGUUGGGCUGUUCGCCCAUUAAAGCGGUACGCGAGCUGGGUUCAG